GUCCCCGUAGUUUAAUGGAUAAAAUAGGAAGCUUCUACCUUCUUGAUCGGGGUUCGAUUCCUCGCGGGGACA
rnacentral:tRNA from 1 species